rnacentral:tRNA from 1 species
ACAUUGGUGGCUCAGGGGUAGGAUUCUUGCCUUCCAUGCAGGAGACCCAGGUUCAAUUCCCGGCUGAUGCA